rnacentral:rRNA from 1 species
AUUGAACGCUGGCGGCAUGCCUUACACAUGCAAGUCGAACGGCAGCACGGGAGCAAUCCUGGUGGCGAGUGGCGAACGGGUGAGUAAAGUAUCGGAACGUGCCCAGUCGUGGGGGAUAACGUAGCGAAAGUCACGCUAAUACCGCAUACGAUCUAUGGAUGAAAGCGGGGGAUCGCAAGACCUCGCGCGAUUGGAGCGGCCGAUACCAGAUUAGGUAGUUGGUGGGGUAAAGGCUCACCAAGCCGACGAUCUGUAGCUGGUCUGAGAGGACGACCAGCCACACUGGGACUGAGACACGGCCCAGACUCCUACGGGAGGCAGCAGUGGGGAAUUUUGGACAAUGGGCGAAAGCCUGAUCCAGCCAUGCCGCGUGCAGGAUGAAGGCCUUCGGGUUGUAAACUGCUUUUGUACGGAACGAAAAGGUUUGGCCUAAUAAGCUGAGCUCAUGACGGUACCGUAAGAAUAAGCACCGGCUAACUACGUGCCAGCCGCCGCCGUAA